GCCGAGGUCGCAUAGCCUGGUAUCGCGCAUGACUGGAAAUCAUGUGGGUUUUACCCGCCGGAGUUCAAAUCUCCGUCUCGGCGCCA
rnacentral:tRNA from 1 species